rnacentral:rRNA from 1 species
UACGGAGGGGGUUAGCGUUGUUCGGAAUUACUGGGCGUAAAGCGCGCGUAGGCGGACCAGAAAGUUGGGGGUGAAAUCCCGGGGCUCAACCCCGGAACGGCCUCCAAAACUCCUGGUCUUGAGUUCGAGAGAGGUGAGUGGAAUUCCGAGUGUAGAGGUGAAAUUCGUAGAUAUUCGGAGGAACACCAGUGGCGAAGGCAGCUCACUGGCUCGAUACUGACGCUGAGGUGCGAAAGUGAGGGGAGCAAACAGG